GUGCCAGCCGCCGCGGUAAAACGUAGGAGACAAACGUUAUCCGGAGUUACUGGGCGUAAAGGGCGUGUAGGCGGUUUGUUAAGUCUGGCGUGAAAGCUCUCGGCUAAACCGGGAGAGGUCGUUGGAUACUGGCAAACUAGAGGACGGUAGAGGCGUGUGGAAUUCCGGGUGUAGUGGUGAAAUGCGUAGAGAUCCGGAGGAACACCAGUGGCGAAGGCGACACGCUGGGCCGUACCUGACGCUAAAGCGCGACAGCAUGGGGAGCAAACAGGAUUAGAUACCCUGGUAGUCC
rnacentral:rRNA from 1 species